CGAGAGGAGUUACGCCCUGCGGAAUUUCAUGCCCGUUGCACAUUGCCGGAAUACUGAAUAAUCGGCCUGAUGCAGCGGAGGCUACUGACUCAUUGCAGUAGACCAGACACUCGACCAAGGGGAUUUUAAUUCAAUCGUUUUAUUCGAAUACGCGCCAGUUAAACGUUUCUACGUCUACAGGAUGAUUCACUAUUCGCGGUGAUCAUAACUCGAAUAAUUCUCUGGUGCUGAUGAAAAUUUAUAUUUCAUUUUAUAUUCUAUAUAGGAAAGUAUGUUUUAAGAGAAAUUAUAUAUUUAAUUACACUAGUUUUACUAGAAAUACCAGGUUUUUGUCUGUUAUAUUAUUUCCAGGCAUACUACUGUCGAUUUUUAUGAACAUAAACAUACGAAGAAGCAACGUGCUAUAAACAGAUACGCUGCUGGAGACUUUAAUCGAGUGCACGUGUGCUUCAGGAAUUUGUGCUGGGAGGCCAGAGACUUUUCGCUACAUCAUUUUCCCUGGGGAUGUUUAAGAGCAACGGUGCCUGGGACAUCAUUUUCUCGGAGAAGCCUGAUUUGAUCGCGAGCCUACACAUGAAUCCAUGUAUGUACCUGCAUCAUUAAACCAUAAGUGUCAUGGUUAAUGUCAAGGGCGAUGUCAUUCUUAGAAUGCUUCAGGGUCAGUCUUAAAUAUCGAAGUUCGUGACUUUUAUGACAACAAAGAACGUCCUUGGCGACUACCCAGAGGGACCAUGUCUUGAGGCGGCUCUGCUAGUACCAGAGAUGUGUUUUUACUGAAUACCGUAGGCUACCAGUGAUCCACGUGGCAUCGAACGGGUUAACAUAAAAAUAUACCGCUCCCCCAUGAUGUCUACGCCUCUGCGCACAUACUAUGGUGACCCAUUCCACGAGCUUAUAAACGAAAGAAUCACGUCACCCCUUAUCUUCUAUUUACUCACUUUCUCGUUUCGUAUGCAGCUGCUGACAGUUUUCGGC